GACGAACGCUGGCGGCGUGCUCAACACAUGCAAGACGAGCGGAAAGGCCCUUUCGGGGGUACUCGAGCGGCGAACGGGUGAGUAACACGUGAGUAAUCUGCCCUGGACUCUGGGAUAGCCACCGGAAACGGUGAUUAAUACCGGAUAUGACACCUUGCUGCAUGGUGGGGUGUGGAAAGUUUUUUCGGUCCAGGAUGUGCUCGCGGCCUAUCAGCUUGUUGGUGAGGUAAUGGCUCACCAAGGCUUUGACGGGUAGCCGGCCUGAGAGGGUGACCGGUCACACUGGGACUGAGACACGGCCCAGACUCCUACGGGAGGCAGCAGUGGGGAAUAUUGGACAAUGGGCGGAAGCCUGAUCCAGCAACGCCGCGUGAGGGAUGACGGCCUUCGGGUUGUAAACCUCUUUCAGUACCGACGAAGCGUGAGUGACGGUAGGUACAGAAGAAGGACCGGCCAACUACGUGCCAGCCGCCGCUGUAACAC
rnacentral:rRNA from 1 species